rnacentral:rRNA from 1 species
UACGGGGGGGGCAAGCGUUGUUCGGAAUUACUGGGCGUAAAGGGUUCGUAGGUGGCUCGCUAAGCCAGACGUGAAAUCCCUCAGCUUAACUGGGGAACUGCGUCUGGGACUGGAGAGCUUGAGUGCAGGAGAGGAAUGCGGAAUUCCAGGUGUAGCGGUGAAAUGCGUAGAUAUCUGGAGGAACACCGGUGGCGAAGGCGGCAUUCUGGACUGCAACUGACACUGAGGAACGAAAGCCAGGGGAGCAAACGGGAUUAGAUACCCCGGUAGUCCUGGCCCUAAACGAUGAAUGCUUGGUGUGGCGGGUAUCGAUCCCUACCGUGCCGGAGUUAACGCGUUAAGCAUUCCGCCUGGGGAGUACGGUCGCAAGGCUGAA